CACGUAGGGCGCAAGCGUUGUCCGGAAUUAUUGGGCGUAAAGAGCUCGUAGGCGGUCUGUUGCGUCUGCUGUGAAAACCCGGGGCUUAACCCCUGGCUUGCAGUGGAUACGGACAGACUAGAGGUAGGUAGGGGAGAAUGGAAUUCCCGGUGUAGCGGUGAAAUGCGCAGAUAUCGGGAGGAACACCGGUGGCGAAGGCGAUUCUCUGGGCCUUACCUGACGCUGAGGAGCGAAAGCGUGGGGAGCGAACAGG
rnacentral:rRNA from 1 species